rnacentral:rRNA from 1 species
UACGUAGGGGGCUAGCGUUGUCCGGAUUUACUGGGCGUAAAGGGCGUGCAGGCGGCCCGUUAAGUGCAUGGUGAAAGCUCCCGGCUCAACUGGGAGAGGUCUGUGUAUACUGGCGGGCUUGAGGGGGGUAGAGGAAAGUUGGAAUUCCCGGUGUAGUGGUGAUAUGCGUAGAUAUUCGGGAAGGAACACCAGUGGCGAAGGCGGCUU